GGCAAUUUGGCCGAGUGGUUAAGGCGAAAGACUUGAAUGAAUUGACCUUCGGGUCUUCUCCUCAGGAUAUCUUUUGGGAUUUUCCCGCGCAGGUUCGAGUCCUGCAGUUGUCG
rnacentral:tRNA from 1 species